UACGGGGGGGGGCAAGCGUUGUUCGGAAUUACUGGGCGUAAAGGGCCAGUAGGCGGCCAACUAAGUCGGAUGUGAAAUCCCCCAGGCUCAACUUGGGAACUGCAUCCGAUACUGGAUGGCUUGAAUUCGGGAGAGGGAUGCAGAAUUCCAGGUGUAGCGGUGAAAUGCGUAGAUAUCUGGAGGAAUACCGGUGGCGAAGGCGGCAUCCUGGACCGACAUUGACGCUGAACGGCGAAAGCUAGGGGAGCAAACGGG
rnacentral:rRNA from 1 species